GGGUUUUACUGUCUCCCCACUCUAAUCAGUGAAACUGAUCUUCCCGUGAAGAAGCGGGAAUAUACAUAUAAGACGAGAAGACCCCAUGGAGCUUUAAACCCAACAGCACCUAUUCUUUUUAAAUCCACUUAUUCUUAUAGUAAGUGCUUGCUUGGUUUUAGGUUGGGGUGACCGCGGAGUAAAAAUGAGCCUCCACGAAAAAAGGCAUAAAAGCCUUAUCAAAGAAUCACACUUCUAUGAAUUAGUAAACUAAUUUUUGAUGAUCCGAUAUUCGAUCAACGAACCAAGUUACCCUGGGGAUAACAGCGCAAUCCACCUCAAGAGCUCCUAUCGACAAGUGGGUUUACGACCUCGAUGUUGGAUCAGGGUACCCCAGUGGUGCAGCAGCUACUAAAGGUUCGUUUGUUCAACGAUUAAAACCCU
rnacentral:rRNA from 1 species